UGGUGUCCAAAGAAGCGCACAUCCACCUGAUUGUCAUCCCUCUGAAGGACUUUGGCCGGCCAGUAUCCAAAACCUUUCAUUUUGGCCCAGACUAAGUCAUGGCUGGGACUCUACCAUAAAAAGACACAGUCCACGUAGUAAACCAUCAAG